rnacentral:rRNA from 1 species
CAGGAUCUAGGCUGAAGCUUGUCGGCAAUCCGUGCGGCGCGUAUGGCGAGGUGCGAUGAUGGGAGCCGUUUCGGCUCGAUAUCCGGUGGUCCAGGCCGUCGAGAAAAGCCCCGGCGUCAGGCGCGUUGCCGCCCGUACCCCAAACCGACACUGGUGGUCAGGUAGAGAAUACCAAGGCGAUCGAGCGAAUCCUGGUCAAGGAACUCGGCAAACCGCUCCCGUGCCUUCGGCAUAAGGGAGACCCCCGCGGGUGAACGGACAUGCUCCGGGAGCGUGUGGGGGUGGCACAGACCAGGGGGUAGCGACUGUUUACCAAAAACACAGGUGCAUGCGAAGGCGUAAGCCGCUGUAUAUGCACUGACGCCUGCCCGGUGCCGGAAGGUUAAGAGGAUCCGUCAGCCCCUUGGGGGUGAAGCGGUGAAUUCAAGCCCCGGUAAACGGCGGUGGUAACUAUAACCAUCCUAAGGUAGCGAAAUUCCUUGUCGGGUAAGUUCCGACCUGCACGAAUGGCGUAACGACUUCCCCGCUGUCUCGACCAGGAGCUCGGCGAAAUUGCAGUACGAGUAAAGAUGCUCGUUAAGCGCAGAAGGACGAAAAGACCCCGGGACCUUUACUAUACCUUGGUAUUGGCGUCAGUCGCGGAUUGUGUAGCAUAGGCGGGAGGCUUCGAGGCGCGGGCGCCAGCCCGCGCGGAGCCGCAAGGUGAAAUACCGCUCUGUUCUCGUUUGACGUCUCACCUCGAACGGUCAUCCUGUUCAGGGACAGUGCCUGGCGGGUAGUUUAACUGGGGCGGUUGCCUCCCAAAGAGUAACGGAGGCGCUCAAAGGUCCGCUCAGCCCGGUUGGCCAUCGGGUGUCGAGUGCAAUCGCACAAGCGGGCUUGACUGCGAGGACCGCGGUCCGAGCAGGGACGAAAGUCGGAGAUUGUGAUCCGGUGCGGGCGCGCGGGCGCGGCAUCGCUCCACGGAUAAAGGGUCCCCGGGCAUAACGGGUGAUCUUUCCCAGAGGUCCUUCACCGGAUGGUGUGGCUCUCGAUUUCGGGUCGUCGCAUCUGGGGCUUGACCGGUCCCAGGGUUGGUGUCGCGAUUAAGCGGGCGCAUCUUGGUCGAACGUUGGGACGUUGGGCUUCCCGGGCCGUGGAAUCGGGAGGUGCCUUUUCAAG